GGGCGUCGCUGCAUCGGCUUGCUUUUCUUGUCAUCUUUCUUCUUCAGCCUCAAGGGCUCUGUAAUGCAUAUUUUGCCAAUGAAAUGAAAAGAUUUUUGUUACCUCUUUUACUCAUGUAUCGAAUUGUCAUUUGCCGAGCUUCCUUCAGCUUUUACAUUGUCCGAUAUCGAUGUCAUUCGAAAGUACCCGAUCGCCGUCGUAUUGACCCAUCCUUCUGUUUAUGGCCGCUGAUUUGCCUGGGACCACUCGGAUUUGACACCUCCUUUUAGAG
rnacentral:lncRNA from 1 species